AGUAGAGUUCUUAGUGACUGUAAGUCUGGUAGAAUGCAGCAGCUUCCAGAUCCAUUGUAUUUUCUUCCUACUGAUAACACUUGCCUUUUAACAAUACCUUCCACUGAGAUAAUGGCAAAAUUUUUUGGCUGGGAAGGAUGGCUGUUUAUGUGAAGUAGCAUACUAUCAGAAAAUGUUGUUUUAGCCAAAAAUGCGGGAUAAUAAACCUCUCAAAGAGCUCAGUUUCUUGUUUCUUCCAUACUGUAAUUCACAUUCUCAGAAGAUGACCCUUUUGUUCAAAUUGCAAUGGAUAAUUUUAGAAAUACUUUAUAUAUGUGAUCUGGAAAAGGGAUGAUACAGAUUUAUGACUUGGGCCAAGAUGGACAAGGAAUGAGCAGAGUUGCUGCUGUUUCACAGAAUUCUUUUGUUCUUGCUGAUGGAAACGUUGCUAGAACCAUGAAUCAUUCU
rnacentral:lncRNA from 1 species